CCUGCGGAGGGAUCAUUACUGAGUUUACGCUCUAUAACCCUUUGUGAACAUACCUAUAACUGUUGCUUCGGCGGGUAGGGUCUCCGUGACCCUCCCGGCCUCCCGCCCCCGGGCGGGUCGGCGCCCGCCGGAGGAUAACCAAACUCUGAUUUAACGACGUUUCUUCUGAGUGGUACAAGCAAAUAAUCAAAACUUUUAACAACGGAUCUCUUGGUUCUGGCAUCGAUGAAGAACGCAGCGAAAUGCGAUAAGUAAUGUGAAUUGCAGAAUUCAGUGAAUCAUCGAAUCUUUGAACGCACAUUGCGCCCGCCAGCAUUCUGGCGGGCAUGCCUGUUCGAGCGUCAUUUCAACCCUCAAGCUCUGCUUGGUGUUGGGGCCCUACAGCUGAUGUAGGCCCUCAAAGGUAGUGGCGGACCCUCCCGGAGCCUCCUUUGCGUAGUAACUUUACGUCUCGCACUGGGAUCCGGAGGGACUCUUGCCGUAAAACCCCCAAUUCUCCAAAGGUUGACCUCGGAUCAGGUAGGAAUACCCGCUGAACUUAAGCAUAUCAUA
rnacentral:rRNA from 1 species